rnacentral:lncRNA from 8 species
AUGUCUUUGUCUUAUAUUCUUCUCAUUUAUUCGGUUCCCACUCCCACUAUUGUAUUUUCCCCUGGGUACAUCAAUGUAGCUACACCUGUUACAGAACGCUGUGAGUCACCAAAAAGCACAGAGUGCAAGUUCUACAGAGAUCUCGACCCCAGCCCUAUAAGAAAAGUAGAUUACAAGCAGGGUGCUUGCCAGUUCAAUUUGUUAUGGAAUGAGUUCAAAAAGUGGAACAAGACUGAAGUAGAUCUCAGCUGUGUAAUUCUACAGAAUAGAGAAGAUAAUACGAUCAAAACCUCAAAACCUAGUGAUGCUCGAAGACUUAAUGUGGGUGAUCCAAUUGGAAAGCCCAGUGUUCAUGUGGAGAAGACUGGGAAUUACCUCAAUCUUCGAUGUGAGGCCAAGGCUGGCACCUCAUGCUACUUUUAUCUGAACAAUGGUUACUCACACUUUAUUAAACAACCCUACAAAGACAAUGUCUGUGUGGAGAGAGUGGCAGAAGAGGAACUGCAGAGGAAGAGGAGCAGUGCUGGAGAGAUCUUCAUCACCUGUGCUGUGGAGCUGGUGAUAGAGGGUGAAGAUACUGUGACAUCACAGCAUAGUGAACCCCUCGGUAUCACCAUAGAUGGAGCUACGAGUUCCCCAUCAGAGUUCAGUUUAAUCAAACCUGUUCAGGAGGAGACAAGCAGCAAUGUCACAGCCCAAGGAAGAGUUUCUUCAGGUCCAGUGUUCCUCGUCAUCAUCAGUCUGGGUGCUGGUUCCCUUUUCCUGGUUCUGCUAGCUGGGUCUGUGCUGUGUGUUCUCCAACGCAAGUGUGGUGCGUGCUUUCACAUAGGUCUACUCAUAAUACAUUCUUAUUUUGUUCCAAAGGCUACUUUGAGUUAUUUUCAAAAUUGCUAAAUUAUCUCUAUGCAUCUUUUGAAGGGGUUCAAGGCAGGCAUGUAAAUACUGGGUAAGACUGGUGUAUUCAUUUUAGAUUCACAUAUUUUUUUCUUCAUUCAUGCACAGCUAUAUCUUUCUGACUGUACUGCAUUGUCUUGACAGAAGCCCACCUGAUCAGCAAGACCAAACCCCACCUUGUGUCUGUGAGUAUGAGAGUUAACUAAACCACCACUGCCUUUAUCUUCUUUUGUUCAGUGUUUUAUUAUCCAUCAUUCUCUCAUUUUAAACAGAUUCUGUCAUCACAAAGCCGUCUAGGAAUGAGGUGAGUUGGUUUGAACCAGUGCAGUGUGAAGUAGCCUACUAUGCACUUUACUUCCACGAUAUCAAGCAAUAUUGCCAAUAGCACCAAUGACAACCCUACUGUGCACACAGCUCAAAGUGACUUGAUCUCUCUCUUACAGGAAGAGGACAGUAGUCUGCAAUACGCUACUGUGACAUAUACCAGUGACCGAGCUAGUCUUCAAUAUGCAACAGUGACAUCUACCGGUAACCAAGUUGGACCUGGGCGCAGCAAGAUCAAGUUUGAAAUAGCUGGAGAGUACGCCCUCUUAGCAGAAUCAUAGAAGAAGAAACAUUUACUGGAUAACAUGUUUUGCCAUAGUUUACAGUUACAAUCCUAUCUUUUUUUCUUCAUAUUGGAUCAUAAUUUACUCAUAGCACAAAGAACACUGCCACAACAACAAAGAUAUCUACUAAUUUCUGAAAACAAGCAGCUUCAACUAUUUGCAUUUUAGGUUAAAUGAAAUAAAUGAAAAAUAAACUUUGUAUGAAACAUAGAAGAAAUAUUUUCCUAUAUUGAGUUACCCAAUCUAGUCAGCAGUCACCAAUCAGUAGUCACCAAUCUAUUUCACUCCUUGACAAGAGUCAAUAGAGACUCAAAUCCACAAGAGGGUAGAACACAUGUCAAACUUUGCUUGUUACAUCUCUACAUCUCUCUCUCCCUUUCUGAUCUCUCGCUUUCUACAUCUCUCUCUUUAACCUUGUCUGGUGUAUAUCAGUUUUCAGUGGUGGAAAAUUACUCAACUGUCAUACUUGAGGAAAAGUAAAGAUACCUUCAUAGAAAAUGACUCAAGUAAAAGUCACCCAGUAAAAUUCUACUAGAGUAAAACUCUAUAAGUAUUUGGUUUAAAAUUGUCACGACACCGACGGAUGGUGGCGCCCCUCCUCGGCCGGGCGGAGCUCGGCGGUCGUCGUCGCCGGCCUACUAGCUGCCAUCGAUCCUUUUUUGUUUCACUUUCUGUUGGUUAGGUCUAGGUAGGCACGCACCGGUUUUGGGUUAGUUAUUAGUAGGGGGGGUUAUUUAAUUUAGCGUAGGAUGUCUGUGUUUGUGCGUGAUUAUGUUUCUUGUCCAUUUCGUGUGCUUGAGGAACGUGUGCUGGUUUUCCUCUGCCUGUGGUUGGUUUCUUUGUGUUCACCACCGCAGAAGUAUUUAAGGGCUUCGUCCCUAUUUUUUGGCGACCAUAUCUACUUUCUGGAAUAAAGAAGUGUGGUCAAGAAUUCUCUGUCUCCUGCGCCUGACUCUACCUCUCCUGCUUUCUUGAGCCAGCCCGUGACAAAAAUAUACUUAAGUAUGAAAAAUAAAAGUAUAAAUAAUUUCAAAUUCCUUAUUUUAAGCAAACCAGAGUCCACCAUUUUCAUUUUUUUCUCUUUUUUUUUACGGAAUGCCAGGGGCACACUCCAACACUCAGCCAUCAUUUACAAACAAAUCAUGUCAGUUUAGUGAGUCCGCCAGAUCAGAAGCAGUAGGGAUGACCAGGGAUGUUCGGUUGAUAAGUCUGUGAAUGUCACUAUCUUCCUGGCCUGCUAAGCAUUCAAAAUGUAAUGAGUACUUUUGGGUCUCAAGGAAAAUGCAUGGAGUAAAAAGUACAAUAUUUUCUUAAGAAUGCAGUGAACCAAAAGGUAAAGUAGUCAAAAAUAUAAAUAGUAAAGUAUAGAUACCCCAAAAAGCUACUUAAGUAUUAUUUUAAAGUAUUUUUACUUAAGUACUUUACACCACUGUUAGUUUAAAAAAUAUGUUUUGUUAAUAAAAUGGUUUACUUACAGUAUGUGCCUUGACUUCCACCUGUUGAUACACCACCUCCAUAUUUCCUCUCUCUGCUUCCUGAUUUACAUAUCAAAUCAAAUCAAAUCUUCUUGGUCACAUACACAUGUUUAGCAGAUGUUAAUGUGAGUGUAGCGAAAUGCUUGUGCUUCUAGUUCCGACCAUGCAGUAAUAUCUAACAAGUAAUCUAACAAUUUCACAACAAAUUCCAUUUACACACAAGUGUAAAGGAAUGAAUNNNNNNNNNNNNNNNNNNNNGGUCCGUCCUGUGCCACCUCCCAGGACUAGGCCUCCAGUGGGUCUCCCCAUCCUGGUCCGUCCUGUGCCACCUCCCAGGACUAAGCCUCCAGUGGGUCUCGCCAGUCCGGAGCCGCCAGAGCUGCCCGCCAGUCCGGAGCCGCCAGAGCUGCCCGCCAGUCCGGAGCCGCCAGAGCUACCCGCCAGUCCGGAGCCGCCAGAG